rnacentral:lncRNA from 1 species
GGGGUCUUUAUAUCUUAGUUUUGAUCUGUAAUCAAAAUUUCUGCCUUAAUCUUUUUCCCAUUUUUUUCUGCAGCAUUGUGAUGCCACAUUUCAGAAUCCACAGGUAGGCGCAAAGAGGCAAAGGUGACAACAAGGGUUCACUUCCUUCCCGGUAUUGCCUGCAGCCUUCUCUACCUCUGGGCCCAUCCAGGCACCUCAGGUCUGGCCCUGAGACACAACACCUUAACUUUAGACAUACACACAUGACAUCAACUGGAGCAGCUUGCCCAGGGAGGCUACCUAAACUGCUCUGCUUUCUCAACACACCUUCCCUAGAAGCAGCGGAAUCCUCUACUUGCAAUAUCCUCAGCCUUGCUCUUCUCAGCAACUCCUGGCAUUCAACCCUACAUACUGAGGAGCAAGCAGUGACACAAUCGUGUCUAUUCUGACUCCAAGUGACUCUGCAGAUUGUCCCCACCCUGUUCCGUGGCCAUCACAGCUCGUGGACCUCUAUGAUCACUUUGGGUUGGGAGACUCCUGACCUCUCCAGUUAACCACACACUCUGGGUUUGUAGCUGGGUACAUGACAUUUCAGCUCAUAUCGGCCUCUCUCUGUCUUUCUGUAGCUUUGUGACUCAGCCUGUAGCAUAGGAGUGAAAGCAAUAGGUUAAAUUCUGACUUAGCCCAACCUAAACCCAAGUCUCUAGCCCUCCUUCUUUCUCCUCCUUUACUAGAUUGGUAAAGACGGCAGUUGGCAGGUGACAA